CAGCCGCCGCGGUAAUACGAAGGGGGCUAGCGUUGCUCGGAAUGACUGGGCGUAAAGGGCGCGUAGGCGGCGAUCAAAGUCAGGCGUGAAAUUCCUGGGCUUAACCUGGGGACUGCGCUUAAUACAGGCAGUCUAGAGUGAGGAAGAGGGUUGUGGAAUUCCCAGUGUAGAGGUGAAAUUCGUAGAUAUUGGGAAGAACACCGGUGGCGAAGGCGGCAACCUGGUCCUUGACUGACGCUGAGGCGUGAAAGCGUGGGGAGCAAACAGGAUUAGAUACCCCUGUAGUCCCUGUCUCUUAUAC
rnacentral:rRNA from 1 species